ACUUAGAAGCGGCAACGAUGAUCGAAUCACAUCUGUUACCAUCCGUCUUUCAUCUGAAUAUGUGUACACUGAUCUGGACAACACGGAGGACACAUCAUACCUCUCCACAAUAACCAAUACUCAACAAAACAUAUAAUCUGUAGGUGAAAAAACUCGAGAUCAUACGCAAAACAUUGUUCCCUUCCUCGGUCUAAGAUAGAAGAUCAUCCUCCUCGACACACACCUAUAACCAAGGAGAGAGUAAUUCUCAUGGGGGAGCAUGAGAAAACAGAGAAACCUAUUCAGAGCUGUCCCGAUUGCUUCUCUCUUAGAGCCUCCAUGUUCUAUAUCAACACGAAAUAACAUGGUUUUGCUUUCAGACAGGACAGCCUUGUGUUAUAAGAAGUUUUUUUUGAAAAAAAAAAAAGGAAAAAGAGAGAAGCCUUGCUAAACCGCCAAAAGAGAAAACCCUUGAAGAGCGAUCAAGCCUAAACAAGACGACAAGUAGAUCACAUGGAACUCGGAAGCGGCAACGAUGAUAACGUAAGGAACGAAAGAGAUUAGAGAAACCCCUGAAGACUUAGCGUAGAGAAAACGCGUGGAAGAGAAUCAAUCAAGAAUCAUCCGUGAGAAGUGAAAACCCUAACGAUGAUCGGUCCAAGAAAUCGCGUUGAAACAUCCUCCUGCGAGACGACGUAGAUAACACAAAACACGUAAGGCAGAAAACAAAAGACAAGAGACGCGUUCAGAAGAAUAUCACCCGCGAUUACGCGUCUGAGAGGAGAUGAGAAUUCUCAAAGAG
rnacentral:lncRNA from 1 species